rnacentral:rRNA from 1 species
UACGUAGGGUGCAAGCGUUGUCCGGAAUUAUUGGGCGUAAAGAGCUUGUAGGCGGUUUGUCGCGUCUGCUGUGAAAUUUCGGGGCUCAACCCCGAACUUGCAGUGGGUACGGGCAGACUAGAGUGUGGUAGGGGAGACUGGAAUUCCUGGUGUAGCGGUGAAAUGCGCAGAUAUCAGGAGGAACACCGAUGGCGAAGGCAGGUCUCUGGGAGGGUACUGACGCUGAGACGCGAAAGCGUGGGGAGCGAACAGG